GACCCCUUGGGUGGAAGGAUGGGUCUAAACCGUUGGUUUUCGACCACUACGACCCGGGUUCGAUUCCCACAUGGGUCA